AAGUUCCAGCAGCUUCCUCGUCGGUCGACAGUCAGUGGGAAACACUCACUCAGAAGGGAGCACGGUGGCCUUCCGCAACAGGUGUGAGCCUCUCACUGUCUUCUGGCAUCUGGAGGCUGAGCACGGGUCCCCGCUGCAGUGUGUUGAGAACUGGCUUCUGUACAGCCCCACGCACGUGGCUUUCGCUUUCCCUGGCACGUCCCAUAAACAGGUGGCCGUGACCUUGGCCUGUUCACCCAGAGUCUCAAAAACCAGAAGGUUCAGACCAUUCUUCUUUGGAACCCUGAGACAGACGGGAGAAGUGAGCGUGAGAAGUGAGUGAGUGUUAAUAUCUUUAUUAUAUUU
rnacentral:lncRNA from 1 species